GACCAUUGUCACAAGACAACCAGAGAAAAAUAUUCACUAUAUGAAAAAUUAUUACAACCACAUUCUCAAAAAUAAUUUUCUCUUACCCAAGCCUCAAAUACAUAAUCCCGCGAAAUAUCCCUUAACAAAACAAACCCGUAAUACUCAUAUUGAGGAGCCAAUUGCUCGUUCAAUAUAAUUAUAUGCUUAAGAACAUUUCUCUCCUAUAUUGGAAGCCCUUAAUGCUUCUCUUACAUCCACCAAUUGAAUGCUCUCAAUUGGAUUGCUUCUUUCCAUGGCCAACAUUUCAUGAUCAUUUUCUUGAGCAAUGUUGAAGCUUAUUGCUUCUCUA
rnacentral:lncRNA from 1 species